rnacentral:rRNA from 1 species
CCCUUAGAUGUCCGGGGCCGCACGCGCGCUACACUGAAGGAAUCAGCGUGGCUUUCUCCCUGACCCGAAAGGGUUGGGAAACCCGUUGAAUCUCCUUCGUGAUAGGGAUUGGGGCUUGAAAUUGUUCCCCAUGAACGAGGAAUUCCCAGUAAGCGCGAGUCAUAAGCUCGCGUUGAUUACGUCCCUGCCCUUUGUACACACCGCCCGUCGCUCCUACCGAUUGGGUGUGCUGGUGAAAUGUUCGGAUCGGCCGUUUGUCGCGGUUUCCGCGGCUCGUGGCUGAGAAGUUCAUUAAACCCUCCCACCUAGAGGAAGGAGAAGUCGUAACA